GAAAUGCGAUAAGUAGUGUGAAUUGCAGAAUUCAGUGAAUCAUCGAAUCUUUGAACGCACAUUGCGCCCUCUGGCAUUCCGGAGGGCAUGCCUGUCCGAGCGUCAUUAAACCCCUCAAACAUCUUUUUUGUUUGGUCAUGGCGGAAGAUCGUCCUCGCGGCGUUCCCCGCUCAAAGAAAUCUGGCGGAGAGCCUGGUCUUCGUGGACGUAGUAAGUUUAUUCCCUUCGUCUCCCGAGUGGUCCAGUUAUCCAGCCGUCAACCCAUACUUCUAGUUUUUCCUCGGAUCAGGUAGGGAUACCCGCUGAACUUAA
rnacentral:rRNA from 1 species